CUACAGCUUCACCCGCUUCACUCGCUCUCCCUUUGUAAUCACCCAAAUUCCUCAUCGAUUCCUCCCGGUUUGCCAAAUGGCAGACGGAUUUUACCCGGAUUCCUCAUCGAUUCCUCCCGGUUUGCGUCACCCAUCUGGACUUGGAUGACAUGAAUAUUGAGAUUAUGAGGAAUACCCAGUACAAGGCAUACUUGAGGCAGGAAAACCAUUCUAUAGACUCCAUUGUUUAGCCCCAACCAACCGUUUUGCCAAAGAGGUGACUAAAAGAGUGGAAACUGCUGAUGGUGUGUGGAAGCACUGGAACUGGAGAACAGAAGGAGACCUUAUGCUUAAUGGAGCCUACUUCAUUGCAUCUGGGCGUGUGUCGUUAGCUAGCUAUGCAAGGGCUUCUAAUAACCAAGAAAAUAUAUAAGAUUGGGUGCAGCUCAAGUAUUAUCCAGGAUUGAGCGUUUUUCCAAGUCUAAGGAAGGACAGGUUGAUGGCCCUAUAAUAACCAAGAAAAUAUAUAAGAUUGGUAACAGUGAACUCAUGGUACUUGUAGCAAAAGCCUCUGGUAAGACAAAAGUUUAUUUGGCUACGGAUCUCAAUGAGCCUGUUAUUCUUCAUUGGGCAUUAUCCAGAAAACCUGGAGAGUGGUUGGCACCACCUGCAAAUGUAUUGCCUCAUGGAUCAGUUUCCUCACAUCAUUAUGCUCAAACCCAAUUCUCAAGUUGUGUUUCAGAUAAUCUGUCUGAUAGAGUCCAAUCCUUAGAAAUUGGAAUUGGGGAUGGAGAUUUCACUGGCAUGCCAUUUGUUCUUUUGUCGGGUAGAAACUGGAUAAAAGUCAGGGGUUCAAACUUUUAUGUUCACUUUAGUAUUAGACUAAGUAUUUAGACUAGCAUUUAGACAAAGUUACAAACAAUUAUAUUAGUGACAAUUACAAUCAA